rnacentral:rRNA from 1 species
CGGGUGAACUAUGGUUAAGGAACUCGGCAAAAUGCCCCCGUAACUUCGGGAGAAGGGGGGCCACGGCCGGUGAAGAGUCUUGCACUCGGAGCUGGUGGUGGCCGCAGAGACCAGCGAGAAGCGACUGUUUACUAAAAACACAGGUCCGUGCGAAGCCGUAAGGCGAUGUAUACGGACUGACGCCUGCCCGGUGCUGGAACGUUAAGGGGACCGGUUAGUCACAUUUCGGUGUGGCGAAGCUGAGAACUUAAGCGCCAGUAAACGGCGGUGGUAACUAUAACCAUCCUAAGGUAGCGAA